AGAGAUGCAUUGGGCAUAAAGCGUGCGCAGGCGGUUUUGUAAGACAGAGGUGAAAUCCCCGGGCUCAACCUGGGAACUGCCUUUGUGACUGCAAGGCUGGAGUGCGGCAGAGGGGGAUGGAAUUCCGCGUGUAGCAGUGAAAUGCGUAGAUAUGCGGAGGAACACCGAUGGCGAAGGCAAUCCCCCUGGGCCUGCACUGACGCUCAUGCACGAAAGCGUGGGGAGCAAACA
rnacentral:rRNA from 1 species